UAAACUGUGAAUUGCCUCUUACUUUAAAAUUUAGCUCUAGCUGGAUAACUUUGUGCAAUAAAAAAAUUAUGUUUAGAUUUUGGAAAUUAUAAUUUAUGUGCUAGGUCUACAUCUUAAAUUCACUAUAUACUUGUAGAACUAUUGCUUGGAAUCUAAUUGCAAGUUUCUACUGUCGACUGUCAUACUAGAUAUGGUGAUGAUUAUGGUCUUAUGGCUGCAUUAGAACCUUGGUCAGGCAACUAUAAUGUUUGCCCCCCUCCCUCCCUUCAUAUGGAAAGCAGCACAUACAACUCAAUUUACUUCUAUUGGCUGGAAAUAUUUAAAGCAUGACAGUGGCGUAGGUAAAUUACCAAAUAGUGGAUCUUAUGUUGGAUUGAUCAGCCCUGAUGAACUGACCUGACCAUUGUAAUUGAAACCAUAACUCAUGACCACUCUAUCUGUAUAGGUCCUGGUAUACCCUGGGAUGAUGUUCACCCACAACUUUUAACUUGAAAUCUUAAAGGAAGUUUUGCUAAACUAACAAGCAUGAAUGUCUGGUACAGUAAGAUAGGGUUAAUGGUCAUCCUGACAUUAUGGUUCAUUCAUUGGGACAGCUAAUGUUUGUGUCUGACCAAGCAGUUCUCAAGUUAGGGCUUGAUGAAGUCUAUAAACUGACCACUAUAUCUACUGGACAAAAAGGAUCAUAUUCUGACCCCCUCCCUCCCAACCAUUUCGUCUGCCUUAUCUUGAUGACUUUGAAGGGUACAAAUGCACUUGGAGCUUUUGAUGGUGUUCUGUUCAAUGCAACAAUUCCCUCAUCUCCAGCAGCUGGCUUUGCAGCUAUUGGCGCAGACAGCUAUGGCUUGGAUGAUUUUGAUAAUUAUCUGCUUCCGCUCUUCAAAACUCAAACGCACGUCUGCCAUGUUGCAGUUAAUUCCUUGCCACUCUGGUACUGUGUGUGGUACAGAACCACCUUCUCAUUUAUUUUUCUAAUUAGACAUUAAGCUUUCCAUGUGCUGAAAUUUAGCAUUGUAGAACGGGAAAUAAAUUGUCUAUGACAGUUCAAAGUGUGUAUACAUUUUUUUGACGCACCCUGUAUAUAUAUUGUAUUCAGUGAUUUUUUUAUUUUACCAUUUUCUAAUAUUAGCUCAAUAACUAUUAACCUUUUAGAUUGUUAUCUUUCGUAAUGUUAAGACUAGAAAACAAGAUCUCAAAAUUAUAUUUAGGACGAUGAUUACAAUUACUUAGUCAAUUACUUAGAUAAAAUAAUUAUAAAACAAAAAUUAUAUAAAGACAUAAUUAUACAAUGUUUAUGUUUUGUAUGUUCAUAAAAAUGUGUAUAGCAGUGUUAUGGAGUGUGUGUGUGGGUGUUUCAACGGUAACGUUGAGAAAUUAGCGAUUGGUUGGUGGAUAUGCAGUGAGGAUGGUGAAAUUACAAAAAUGGUCUAGUGUAAUGCAAAUUACCCAGGGAUCUGAAACUGUACAGACAGGUUUUUUGUAGUGAGUUAGAUUUUGUUUAAAAUACCAUUUUAUAUUAUUGCUACUAGACUUAUUUCAUUUCAUCUAGGUUAGUAUUAGGGUUAGUGUUAUGUUGUAAUAAAAGUUAUAUUUAGUUUUGUUUCAAAAAAGAUGUUUUUUCAAGUUUCACAAUUAAAUAUAUAUAUAUAUAUAUCCAAGCAGUAGUUCUCACCAAACUUUCAUACGCUGGCAGAACUACCUUAAAAAAUGUUCUGCUGGAGGCUGGUGUGGGUAGUAUAGAAGAAAUACUUAUCAUUCAACAGCUGUGAUGGGUUGGAAAAUUAUCCCACAUGUGGGGCGACUGCAUGCCAAAUGGUAUUUUCAAGGAUGGCGUAACGGGGUGCCCCUGUAAGCACUAUAAAGUUUAACUCAGGCACCUUUUUGCCAUAGAGGAAAGUAGGUUGUAAUAGGGUUUAUGAAAACACUGCACUCAACCUUUAUCUUCAGCAUCAUUAUUAUUAUUAAACCAUUACUCAAAUUUUGCUUUGUUAUUUUGCCAUGUAGAGAUUUACUGCUGCUGGGGUGAGCAAUGCUUAAAAAAAUACAAAUAUGCUGUGUUUUUACUUUGGCCCAGCGGUGGCUCCCACAUUUAUGUCUUGUAUUUUUCUAUACCAGUUCUGUUACUAUGCAAAUGCAAAAAAAAAUGCAAGUUGUUGCACUAUUGAUAUUUUUUAUACUAAUUUUUUAUUUAUAUUAUUAAUUAUUUAUUAUUAUCUAAGCAUCUGUUUGUAUUUGAGCUGGGUAAUGAAUAUAGAUUCUUAAAUUUAAUUGUUGUUUGUUGCUUUACUCACUUUUAAACUGUGACCAUGUAAAUUUUGUCUAGAUGGAGAAUGGUAAUGUCUUAGUGUUAAUGAUUAGAUUGAGAAUGUUAAUGUCUUAGUGUCAAUGAUAACAGUGAGAAUGGUAAUGUCUUAGUGUCAAUGAUAACAGUGAGAAUGGUAAUGUCGUAGUGCCAAUGAUAACAGUGAGAAUGGUAAUGUCUAGUGUCUCUGAUUAGAUUGAGAAUGGUAAUGUCUUAGUGUUAUUGAUUAGAUUAAGAAUAGUAAUGUCUUAGUGCCAAUGAUAACAGUGAGACAAUCAUUAGAUUGAGGAUGGUAAUGUCUUAGUGUCAAUGGUGUAACACUAUGAUUAGAGUGAGAUGGACGAGAUGAUUUCAGUUCACGUGAAAAUGGGUCUUACACAUUGUCAAGCAAAGAGGUACCAUUUUUGAUCACACGACCACGUUUUUUUUUUGUAAGUUAGCGCCAUGAUGUAUCAAGAGACGGAGGUGUCUCUGUUUUAUGAAAUUGGAUUAAAUAAUAUGAGUACCUAAUUGGACAUUUUUCUAUGGAUGUAGUUUGUAUUUGAUGUGAAAUAAUUCGCGAUGAUAUUUUAUGGCUGAGAUUGCCUACUUUCUGAACUAUUAUUUGAUGUAAUAAAUAUUUGUCUGCCAGA